rnacentral:rRNA from 1 species
UACGGGGGGGGCAAGCGUUGUUCGGAAUUACUGGGCGUAAAGGGCUCGUAGGCGGCCAACUAAGUCAGACGUGAAAUCCCCCGGCUUAACCGGGGAACUGCGUCUGAUACUGGAUGGCUUGAGUUUGGGAGAGGGAUGCGGAAUUCCAGGUGUAGCGGUGAAAUGCGUAGAUAUCCGGAGGAACACCGGUGGCGAAGGCGGCAUCCUGGACCAACACUGACGCUGAGUGAGCGAAAGCCAGGGGAGCAAACGGG